UCCUUCGUAGCUUAGUUGGUUAAAGCACCAGUCUAGUGUACUGUAGGGUCAUGGGUUCGAGUCCCAUCGAAGGGAA